UCGCGUAUGGUGUAGUGGUCAGCAUCUUGCCUUCCCAAGGCAAGGACCCGAGUUCGAAUCUCGGUGCGCGAA